UGAAAAGAUGACAUCUGGCGCUUCGUCUGCCCACACGCCAUCCUGACGGAGGAAGACCCGGAAACCUGGGGGCCGCGUGAGCCACGGCCACGGCCACGGCCACGGGAAGCACCCAGGACGCCAGGGUGGGGCACGCAUCCCCGCAGGAUCACCCUCCACAAAUAUCACCGGGAUACUUUGGAAAAGUUGGUACGAGGCAUUACCACUUAAAGGGGAACUGUCGGCCUCGAUGGACGGUGGACCUUGGUCAGCGCGCAGACACGGGUGAAUGCUGCCAGAUACGGGAACGGAACGGGUCCCAUCGCUGACGGGACUGUGGCCACAGCCAGUGCAAAGGCCCUGAGGCUCCAGUGGCUGAAGCACAGUGUGCAAGGAGGAAAGCCAGAGGAGAAUAAGCCCCGCUGGAUGUGCCGGGGCCAGCGGGCGGGCAGGAGGACCUGAUGAGGGGGUCCCGCCCGGGCAGGGCCCUAUGGAUGAAGGACUCACUCCAGCGAGCGGGCAUUCUCUUUGUGUGGCUCCCGGUCACAAGCCGGAGGAGGAGUGUGGGAGGAGAGACGCUUCUGUGUCCGACCUCCCUGCCCUUGGAGAGGUGGGUGCUCUGUGU